GACGAACGCUGGCGGCGUGCCUAAUACAUGCAAGUCGAACGCUGAAGGAGGAGCUUGCUUCUCCGGAUGAGUUGCGAACGGGUGAGUAACGCGUAGGUAACCUGCCUGGUAGCGGGGGAUAACUAUUGGAAACGAUAGCUAAUACCGCAUAAGAGUAGAUGUUGCAUGACAUUUGCUUAAAAGGUGCACUUGCAUCACUACCAGAUGGACCUGCGUUGUAUUAGCUAGGUGGUGGGGUAACGGCUUACCAAGGCGACGAUACAUAGCCGACCUGAGAGGGUGAUCGGCCACACUGGGACUGAGACAAGGCCCAGACUCCUUCGGGAGGCAGCAAGAGGGGAUCAUCGGCAAUGGACGGAAGUCUGACCGAACAACGCCGCGUGAGUGAAGAAGGGUUUCGGAUCGGAAAGCUCUGUUGUAAGAGAAGAACGAGUGUGAGAGUGGAAAGUUCACACUGUGACGGUAUCUUACCAGAAAGCGACGGCUAACUACGUG
rnacentral:rRNA from 1 species